rnacentral:rRNA from 1 species
CACGUAGGGCGCAAGCGUUGUCCGGAAUUAUUGGGCGUAAAGAGCUCGUAGGCGGUCUGUUGCGUCUGCUGUGAAAACCCGGGGCUUAACCCCUGGCUUGCAGUGGAUACGGACAGACUAGAGGUAGGUAGGGGAGAAUGGAAUUCCCGGUGUAGCGGUGAAAUGCGCAGAUAUCGGGAGGAACACCAGUAGCGAAGGCGGCUCGCUGGGCCAUUCCUGACGCUGAGACGCGAAAGCUAGGGGAGCGAACAGG